UACGGAGGGUGCGAGCGUUGUUCGGAAUCACUGGGCGUAAAGCGCGUGUAGGCUGACCUUCAAGUCAGAUGUGAAAGCCCCAGGCUUAACUUGGGAACUGCAUUUGAAACUGUUGGCCUUGAGUACGGGAGAGGGAAGUGGAAUUCCUAAUGUAGAGGUGAAAUUCGUAGAUAUUAGGAGGAACACCGGUGGCGAAGGCGGCUUCCUGGACCGAUAUUGACGCUGAGACGCGAAAGCGUGGGGAGCAAACAGG
rnacentral:rRNA from 1 species